UACGAAGGGGGCUAGCGUUGCUCGGAAUUACUGGGCGUAAAGGGAGCGUAGGCGGAUCGUUAAGUUGGGGGUGAAAGCCCGGGGCUCAACCUCGGAAUUGCCUUCAAUACUGGCGAUCUUGAGUAUGGGAGAGGUGUGUGGAACUCCGAGUGUAGAGGUGAAAUUCGUAGAUAUUCGGAAGAACACCAGUGGCGAAGGCGG
rnacentral:rRNA from 1 species